GGAUGCGGAGGUCAUGGCCUCAGGCAAACUCCCCACUGAAGACAAUUGAAGGCUAGAUUCAAACUGAGUGAGGAUGCCCGCAGUUAGCUCUGUGGACUCAACUGUGAGGUCACAAGCAGAGGACUAGGUCAUCGCGAAGGAAGCAGGCUCAAGGAGUGAACUGGGGCAGUGGUUUGGAAGCUGUACCCAGGUUCAAAUGUUACAACUGGCUCUGAUCUCUCUGAUGGGCUGAACCAAACUCCUGACCUCGGAACACUCCUGCACCCUGGGGUGUUCGGUAUCCAGACCCCACUACUGCAAUCCAACCCCUGGACCCCUGCCUCAUUUGUUGCAGAAGCUGGAUAGUGAAUGAAACAGUGGAACUGCAGGAAGAGAAGGCGUAACUGGAUUUUUUUUAAAAGAAGAAAGCUCACAUCUGGAGCACAAGAUCUAUGCUGAUCUCCUGUAUAACCCUGGCCAGAGAGCCCACCCAGCUCAAUAACUUCUUGUGGAGCUGCACCGUCAUUUAUAGAAAGGCAGCAAGGCCUCCAGUUGGAGUUUAAAGACUUCAGGUGACGGAGUACGCUAGGUAAGCUGCCGUCAGAGAAGAGCAGUGACUUGCUGAACCAAUACACAAUGACCUGGUUUUAGCCUGGCUCCGGACAGGUAGUGACGCCAUCAGAGGCAGAGAAAUCACC